GACGAACGCUGGCGGCGCGCUUAACACAUGCAAGUCGAACGGAAAGGCCUGCUUUCCCUUGUGGAUUGCGGGUACUCGAGUGGCGAACGGGUGAGUAACACGUGAGUGAUCUGCCCCCAACUUGGGUAUAAGCCUGGGAAACUGGGUCUAAUUCCCGAUAGUACUGCAGGGUGGUGCCUGUGGUGGAAAACGAUUUUCUAGUGGUUGGGGAUGAGCUCGCGGCCUAUCAGCUUGUUGGUGGGGUAAUGGCCUACCAAGGCGGCGACGGGUAGCCGGCCUGAGAGGGUGGACGGCCACAUUGGGACUGAGAGACGGCCCAGACUCCUACGGGAGGCAGCAGUGGGGAAUAUUGCACAAUGGGCGGAAGCCUGAGGCAGCGACGCCGCGUGGGGGAUGACGGCCUUCGGGUUGUAAACUCCUUUCGACCGCGAGGAAGCCACCUGGUUGGAAGGGUGGUGACGGUAGUGGUAGAAGAAGCACCGGCUAACUACGUG
rnacentral:rRNA from 1 species